rnacentral:rRNA from 1 species
CCUACGGGUGGCAGCAGUGAGGAAUAUUGGUCAAUGGGCGCGAGCCUGAACCAGCCAAGUAGCGUGAAGGAUGACUGCCCUACGGGUUGUAAACUUCUUUUAUAAAGGAAUAAAGUGAGGCACGUGUGCCUUUUUGUAUGUACUUUAUGAAUAAGGAUCGGCUAACUCCGUGCCAGCAGCCGCGGUAAUACGGAGGAUCCGAGCGUUAUCCGGAUUUAUUGGGUGUAAAGGGAGCGUAGAUGGGUUGUUAAGUCAGUUGUGAAAGUGGGCGGCGCAACCGUAAAAUGGCAAUUGAUACUGGGAGUCUUGAGUACAGUUGAGGGAGGCGGAAUUCGUGGUGUAGCGGUGAAAUGCGUAGAUAUCGCGAAGAACACCGAUGGCGAAGGCAGCUUCCUAAACUGCCACUGACAUUGAGGCUCGAAAGUGUGGGUAUCAAACAGGAUUAGAUACCCCUGUAGUC